GUGAGCCUAGCCCAAAUUCCUGUUAGGAGCAUUUCCAAACUGAAUUCCCCAAUUUCAUUAAAUUGCCGAAUUGUUCUUCUUCCGUAAUAAAUUAGUAAAUAUGCCAGUCUUAGUUAAGUGUUUAUAUUGAGCUAUACAUGCGGUCAGGUUCAAAUGUCUUGACACUUAUGAUAGCAAAUAAAUAAUGUCAUUGGUUUCCAUAACAUAGAUUUGCCACACAAGGCCAAUACAUAAAGUCAUAAACACAAGGUCAAUAGCACAUGUCGUGAACAAUCUAGUCAUUCUGAGAACUGCCUUUCCUUUUAGAUUUGACCGGUGAGCUCCAUAUAUACCUGGACCGAGAACUCGAGUCCAGAAAAGUGAAGCCAGUUUCAUGUCAACCGCG